rnacentral:tRNA from 1 species
GUAUCGGUAGUUCAGUGGUAAAAUACUCGCCUGCCACGCGGUUCGAUUCCCGGCCGAUGCA